ensembl:lncRNA
CUGAGGCUUAUGGAUUCAAGCAGUUCCUUAAACACAAGCUGUCCUCCUAACAACUGGAAUAAAUAAAAUGAGGACUUUGGGCCAGAUCCUAUAUUAAGGACCACGGCAGCCGCCAGUCCCUGCUCUUACCUUUGUAAGGGUAGGGCCCCUGCUGCCUCCUCUGCCUGCUCACCCUUCGUCCCUGCGCCAUCCUUUGCUGGUCCCGGUCCUAUGGCUCCUCCAAGACUCAGGCUAGGAAGUACCUCCUCUCGGAAGCCUAGCGGAUCUCCCCUCCUCACCCUCCCAACCCCUGCCCUGUUGGACUCUCCUCCUGAGCUCCCCAGAUGCCUUCCUUUCUCAUUCCAGAAAUGAGGUAAUGUGUCUGUCUCCUUUUCCCCACCAGCCUGUAGGAGUCAGGGACUGUUUAUACUGUACUAACACCAGAAGCACAGACCCUUGUGCAGUCCGUGCUGUGGAGUAGAAGCUCCGCACUGUGUGGAGCAGAUGCCCGGAGGAUGCACGCGUGAAUGAAUGGGGGAUGCUUACUAUGCAGAUGACGAAGGGCAGACUUGGAGACCGGUUGGGGAUGAAGGACUGUGAUUCUCCAUCAUCUGCAGCUUAAGCACCAGCCCACGAGGAAACGACAAGGGGAGCUCAUUGAUGAAGAGGCUCAGAGGAAAGAACACGUGACUACACAGCGAGAAGGGGACCAUCUGCAGGCCACAUCAGGCAUCGACCCUGCGGGCACCUGGUGCUGAACAUCCAGCCUCCAGAACUCUCAGAAAAUCCGUUUCUCUGGGUCAAGCCACCGAGGUGGCGGGUCCCGCGAUGGCAGCAUCACCGCCAGCUUCUCUGGCUCCAUCCUGCUGAUGAGGCUGCCACUGGUACCUGGUCUCUGCCAGCCGCGAGGGCCUUCCCUGUUCCCGGAGCCGAGGGGAGGAGGCACUCUGCAGCCUUUCUCAAGCCUCUCAUGCUGCUACGGCAUCAGUGGGCACAUUCCUCAUGAAGAGCCUGGAUGAUAAGGGGGACCAAGGGUGCUUGGGGCUGGAGGGGUUCAGGAGAGGCUGGUCACAGUGCUGUGUCCCUGUCACCAAGAUGCGGCCAUUUCUCAAUGCAGAGGUCAGAGAGUCACCAGACGCUAGAACGACAGGAUAAAGCAGAUAUAACCUGGACUUGACUUCUGGCCCUGCCACUUGCUGGGAGAUUGGUCAUCAGUGGGGCUAUGCACCAGUCUCCUGGCACCCUCGUUUCAGACAGGUGGUAAGAUUGAUCUUCUCGCCUCCUGGAAGUUGGGUGUUGCCAUACCACUUGCUGUGGCCAAUGAAAUCAAAACUUCAAGGACCAGUGCCUGCUUCUCUAUAUUUUCCCCCACCUUCCGACAAGGUUCUAGGUGGUGGUUGCUCCAUCAGGCUGGGUUCCUAAAUGAGAAAAACAGCAAGAGGCAGACCCCAUAACUGUCCCACGAUGGAUAUGUAGAGUGAGCAAUAAAUAAAUCUCUGUUUUUC